CAUUAGCUAGUUGGUAGGGUAAUGGCCUACCAAGGCAACGAUGGUUAGCUGGUCUGAGAGGAUGAUCAGCCACACUGGAACUGAGACACGGUCCAGACUCCUACGGGAGGCAGCAGUGAGGAAUAUUGCGCAAUGGGGGCAACCCUGACGCAGCAACGCCGCGUGAGUGAGGAAGGUUUUCGGACCGUAAAGCUCUGUCGAGCGGGAAGAAAUGCAUAGUGGCUAAUAUCCAUUAUGCUUGACGGUACCGCUAAAGGAAGCACCGGCUAACUCCGUGCCAGCAGCCGCGGUAAUACGGGGGGUGCUAGCGUUGUUCGGAAUCAUUGGGCGUAAAGAGCGUGUAGGCGGCUGGAUAAGUCAGAUGUGAAAGCCCUGGGCUUAACCCAGGAAGUGCAUUUGAAACUGUUCAGCUUGAGUAAGGGAGAGGAAAGUGGAAUUCCUGGUGUAGAGGUGAAAUUCGUAGAUAUCAGGAGGAACACCGGUGGCGAAGGCGACUUUCUGGCCCUAUACUGACGCUGAGACGCGAGAGCGUGGGUAGCAAACAGGAUUAGAUACCCUGGUAGUCCACGCUGUAAACGAUGUUCACUAGGUGUUGGGGGUAUUGACCCUCUCAGUGCCGCAGCUAACGCA
rnacentral:rRNA from 1 species